rnacentral:rRNA from 1 species
GAUGAACGCUGGCGGCGUGCCUAAUACGUGCAAGUCGAGCGAACGGACGAGAAGCUUGCUUCUCUGAUGUUAGCGGCGGACGGGUGAGUAACACGUGGAUAACCUACCUAUAAGACUGGGAUAACUUCGGGAAACCGGAGCUAAUACCGGAUAAUAUUUUGAACCGCAUGGUUCAAAAGUGAAAGACGGUCUUGCUGUCACUUAUAGAUGGAUCCGCGCUGCAUUAGCUAGUUGGUAAGGUAACGGCUUACCGAGGCAACGAUGCAUAGCCGACCUGAGAGGGUGAUCGGCCACACUGGAACUGAGACACGGUCCAGACUCCUACGGGAGGCAGCAGUAGGGAAUCUUCCGCAAUGGGCGAAAGCCUGACGGAGCAACGCCGCGUGAGUGAUGAAGGUCUUCGGAUCGUAAAACUCUGUUAUUAGGGAAGAACAUAUGCGUAAGUAACUGUGCACAUCUUGACGGUACCUAAUCAGAAAGCCACGGCUAACUACGUG